UUGACAGCACUAGAGACUGAAUUCCUGUUUAACUACAGAGCAGGUAUAGCACAGGCAGCCAGAAUACUAGCUUCCCCACAGCCUUCCCUACUCAACCCUCUGUUUGAUGGUGCAUCGAAAACAGCCAUGGAGCUGAGAUCCACAGUGGAGAAGCUGCCCUCUAGUCACGCACUGCUUGCUGCACCAGUUCCCCCA
rnacentral:sRNA from 1 species